AAGAGGCCGCCUGUGACACCAGAUAAAAGAGCUGAGCCAACUGUUAAGUCUCUGUAGUGCCUGCCUGGGCAGCAUCAAAGGGAGCAUUCGCGUGGGAUAUAAUAAACAAGGAAGAACAUUCAUUUUAACCAGAGCUAUUCUACCCAACCAGGAUAUCGGAAGAUCCUCUCAGCACUGAAGGUCGUUGACCUGCUCUACUCAGGCCCGUACCUGCCAUUCCAGGGCCUGGACCUGGCCCUCUGAAGAUUCCACCGCACUCUUGGCAGCUGCAGCUCACUGCUCCACCUCCAUGACUUGCCUUCCGAGACGCUGGGUCUCCUGGUCAUGCGUCUGCAGCUUGGCCGUUAUCAGUUCCAUCCUGGUCCGGGUCACCUCUAUCGCUGAAUUGGUCUUUUCUCGGAGUUUCACGAACUCUGAGACCAGGUUCUACUCCACAGGUGGAAUGUGGGAAGUUUACACAGCCAUUUCCUUGCUAUUCAGGAAUGAUUUACAUUUUCAUUCAGAAAUCAAGAACAUUACAGUUGGAAUUUGACUACACCUUAUAGUUACAAAAAUCUAUCUGCAACAGAUUUGACCAAUAAGGGAUGAUUUGCAUUUCAUUGUUUCUGGAGGUGGGGUGGUCGCUGCAUUGUGUCGAGUGGCAUGUGACUGUGAGGGAGUGGCCAGAGUAUCUAUAAGCAUUGCAACUCACCUGUAUAAAGGGGAUGUGUUUUGUUUGUUCAGUGCCUCACUUUGAUUCAACCUCGCAUGGCUGCAAGGGAGGUCAAAGGUGGUCACCUUGCUUGUACAAGCUUUAAUAAACUUUAACUGUUGUCUUUAUUCAGAGGGAGCUUUUGCCACAACCCUGUAAGGUGUGUGUUAAAGGUUCCUCCAGAGAGACCCCUGGACACAACCUGCAAGCAUGGUGAAGAGUGUUCAGGGUUUCUUCAAAGCUUGUACUGUUCUGUGUUCAAUAAAAUUUGGUUGCUUGUCCAGAAGUUGGUGUGUUGCAGUUGCAUCAAGUGUGCAAGAACCUCAAGAGUAAAAGAAUCUAACACUCCCAGGACACAAACGUACUUGUAGUUUGACAGAGGCCAUCAUUGCAAAGACAGGGUAUAAGUAUGGAAAUAUUAAAGUGUUGCCCUGUUGGAACUGAGUAUAUUAUUUAGACUGAUGUGGAUUACUGCACUCCAUGUCAGUGGACACCCACCCAAUG